AAAACCAUCAGGCGGUCCACGAGGUCGCAAU
rnacentral:sRNA from 1 species